UACGUAGGGGGCAAGCGUUGUCCGGAAUUAUUGGGCGUAAAGCGCGCGCAGGCGGUUUUUUAAGUCUGGUGUUUAAGCCCGGGGCUCAACCCCGGUUCGCAUCGGAAACUGGAAGACUUGAGUGCAGGAGAGGAAAGUGGAAUUCCAUGUGUAGCGGUGAAAUGCGCAGAUAUCAGGAGGAACACCGAUGGCGAAGGCAGCUUGCUGGGACGUUACUGACGCUAAGGCGCGAAAGCGUGGGGAGCGAACAGG
rnacentral:rRNA from 1 species